GUUAAGUGACUAAGCGUACACGGUGGAUGCCUAGGCAAUCAGAGGCGAAGAAGGACGUGCUAAUCUGCGAAAAGCUUGGAUGAGUUGAUAAGAAGCGUUUAAUCCAAGAUAUCCGAAUGGGGAAACCCAGUAGAUGAAGAAUCUACUAUCAAUAGAUGAAUACAUAGUCUGUUGAGGCAAACCGGGAGAACUGAAACAUCUAAGUACCCCGAGGAAAAGAAAUCAACCGAGAUUUUGUCAGUAGCGGCGAGCGAAARCGAAAGAGCCAGCAAGUGAUAGCAGCAAAGACAGAAGAAUUGGCUGGGAAGCCAAGCGACACAGGGUGAUAGCCCCGUAUUYKAAGUUUAUGUUGUGGUACUAA
rnacentral:rRNA from 1 species